rnacentral:rRNA from 1 species
AUUGAACGCUGGCGGCAGGCUUAACACAUGCAAGUCGAGCGAGCGGCGGACGGGUGAGUAAUUUCUGGGAAACUGCCUGAUGGAGGGGGCUAACUACUGGAAACGGUAGCUAAUACCGCUUACCAUCAGCUGUGCCCAGCUGGGAUUAGCUAGUAGGUGGGGUAAUGGCUCACCUAGGCGACGAUCCCUAGCUGGUCUGAGAGGAUGACCAGCCACACGGGAACUGAGACACGGGCCAGACUCCUACGGGAGGCAGCAGUGGGGAAUAUUGCACAAUGGGCGCAAGCCUGAUGCAGCCAUGCCGCGUGUGUGAAGAAGGCCUUCGGGUUGUAAAGCACUUUCAGCGAGGAAGCGUUACUCGCAGAAGAAGCAACGGCUAACUACGUGCCAGCAGCCGCGGUAAUUC